rnacentral:tmRNA from 1 species
GGGGCCGCCAUGGUUUCGACGGGGGUUACAAAGCGGAUGGGGGCAUGCCGGGAUCUCAGUUCCCCGUAAAACACUGAACCAAGAUAGUCGCAAACGACGAAACUUACGCUCUGGCUGCUUAAUUGCGCCGGACUCUGCACUGCUUCUCCCCUCGGGUAGACCGGGCAACCGGUAGCAGAGUCAUUUAGAGGGGAUCGCGCUGCAUCGGGUCACUUGAUGUAGUGUCAAACUAAGGUGACUCGCCCGAGACAAGCCCGCCCGCCGGCUCGUUGAAGGUUAAAUCCAGUUGGCACGGCUAAGCAUGUAGAACUCUUCGUAGAGGACUUCCGGACGCGGGUUCGACUCCCGCCGGCUCCACCA